UGGGCUUGGAUGACCUAUCAUUUUUUUAGGAUUGGGGGUUGGCCGUUUACUGGGAAAACGUGGGCUGACACGAGGAGCACUCUUAGGGGGAGGGAGCUCAGAACGAGAAUUACAACUCGUAGAGGAACUAGGGGGGACCUAUCCCGCUCGCUAAUGGAGAUGUGGGAAGGGGAACCCGCAUGAGGGCUGUCAACCCUAUUAGUCCCAACUGCAUGUCGCUUUCUCACGGGUUCCGUAUGUUUCUUGCCCAUCUACUUUCCCCAACAACACAUCCAUAAGACCCCAACAACACAUCCAACAAGC
rnacentral:lncRNA from 1 species